rnacentral:lncRNA from 1 species
AAUCCACUAAUUUACUGCAUUUCAACACAUUUUGCCAUGGUGCAGAGAGAACAAUUUGCAGUUUUAUAAUGUUAUUCUACACAUUUUGUCAUGAGGUUAAGCCAACAUUUUACAGUUAUCUAAUUUCCUGCAAUUCUAUACUUUUUGUCAUGAUAUUGAGAGAUAUUUUUGCAGUUUUAAAUCUUAUUUCCAGAAAUUCGACACAUUUUGCUAUCAUAUGCUAUCUGGGGGACCCCCGACCUCCAGGGUGGCCCCAAAUCCACCCCAAAUUAUGUGGCCCCCUGGAGGUCGGGGUACAUGCCCUGCGUGCCCGUUCGGUAAUCCGGCCCUGGUUUUUGUGGUUUCUUCUACCAGAUGUGUCCUACUAUAAAUAUCAGAUCCCAGAUGUUUCCCACUAGAAAUAUCAGAUCCCAGAUGUAUCCCACUGUAAAUAUCUGAUCCCAGAUGUAUCCCAGAAUGAGCUUCACAGUUAGCACACUCGCUAAGAUGGUACAGUGAGAGUCCAUGGAGAAUUGAUCUACACUGUUAGCGACUUGCUAAGACAAGUACAGUGAGAGUCCAUGGACAAUUGAUCUACCCUGUUAGCGACUCGCUAAGACGGUACAGUGAGAGUCCAUGGAGAAUUGAUCUACACUGUUAGCGACUCGCUAAGACAAGUACAGUGAGAGUCCAUGGACAAUUGAUCUACCCUGUUAGCGACUCGCUAAGACGGUACAGUGAGAGUCCAUGGAGAAUUGAUCUACACUGUUAGCGACUCGCUAAGACAAGUACAGUGAGAGUCUAUGGAGAAUUGAGCUACCCUGUUAGCGACUCGCUAAGACAAGUACAGUGAGAGUCCAUGGAGAAUUGAGCUACCCUGUUAGCGACUCGCUAAGACGGUACAGUGAGAGUCCAUGGAGAAUUGAUCUACACUGUUAGCGACUCGCUAAGACAAGUACAGUGAGAGUCCAUGGACAAUUGAUCUACCCUGUUAGCGACUCGCUAAGACGGUACAGUGAGAGUCCAUGGAGAAUUGAUCUACACUGUUAGCGACUCGCUAAGACAAGUACAGUGAGAGUCUAUGGAGAAUUGAGCUACCCUGUUAGCGACUCGCUAAGACAAGUACAGUGAGAGUCCAUGGAGAAUUGAUCUACCCUGUUAGCGACUCGCUAAGACGGUACAGUGAGAGUCCAUGGAGAAUUGAUCUACACUGUUAGCGACUCGCUAAGACAAGUACAGUGAGAGUCUAUGGAGAAUUGAGCUACCCUGUUAGCGACUCGCUAAGACAAGUACAGUGGUGGUAUGUGGGGAUUUGCUUUAACCACAUUAGCCAUGCUAGCUUGUGACUCAGUUAGCGACUGGCUAAGGCAGUAGAGUGAGAGUCCAUGGAGAAUUGAGCUAGUCCGUUAGCGUUCUAGCCACAUUAGCAGUGGUAGCUGGUGAUGAUGACGAGGUGGUGAACCCAUUAGCCCUGCUAGCUCAGUGAGCCCCAGUUGCUCUGUGUGUGUGUUCGCGCCAUGACUCUGUCCCCAUUGCUCCAUCGCUGCAGGGCUCAGUGUCUCCAGAGAAAAGCAAAGAGCUGCAUACAUUCAGAGUAUCUUGUUCCUAAACAUCACGCCAUGGCUGAGAAUAGGCCUCCUCCACCUCAGGCUUUGGGUUAAUUCAGAUGACUGUGUAAUGGUACAAGAGGCCAUGAAUGAGCUGUAUCCUCCUGCUCCACAUACAGCUGUUGUUGAUCCAUACUGCUGGACAUCAGAGAGAGUGACUGUCUGGACAGCUUACGGCUAGGGCUGGAUACAGGCUGUUUCUGUGAUGUGGGGCUGGAUACAGGCUGUUUCUGUGAUGUGGGGCUGGAUCCAGGCUGUUUCUGUGAUGUGGGGCUGGAUACAGGCUGUUUCUGUGAUGUGGGGCUGGAUACAGGCUGUUUCUGUGAUGUGGGGCUGGAUACAGGCUGUGUUUCUGUGAUGUGGGGCUGGAUACAGGCUGUGUUUCUGUGAUGUGGGGCUGGAUACAGGCUGUGUUUCUGUGAUGUGGGGCUGAAUACAGGCUGUGUUUCUGUGAUGUGGGGCUGGAUACAGGCUGUUUCUGUGAUGUGGGGCUGGAUGCAGGCUGUUUCUGUGAUGUGGGGCUGGAUACAGGCUGUUUCUGUGAUGUAGGGCUGGAUACAGGCUGUUUCUGUGAUGUGGGGCUGGAUACAGGCUGUUUCUGUGAUGUGGGGCUGGAUACAGGCUGUGUUUCUGUGAUGUGGGGCUGGAUACAGGCUGUUUCUGUGAUGUGGGGCUGGAUACAGGCUGUUUCUGUGAUGUAGGGCUGGAUACAGGCUGUUUCUGUGAUGUGGGGCUGGAUACAGGCUGUUUCUGUGAUGUGGGGCUGGAUCCAGGCUGUUUCUGUGCUGUAGGGCUGAAUACAGGCUGUUUCUGUGAUGUGGGGCUGGAUACAGGCUGUUUCUGUGAUGUGGGGCUGGAUACAGGCUCUGUUUCUGUGAUGUGGGGCUGGAUACAGGCUGUGUUUCUGGGAUGUGGGGCUGGAUACAGGCUGUUUCUCUGAUGUGGGGCUGGAUACAGGCUGUUUCUGUGAUGUGGGGCUGGAUACAGGCUGUUUCUGUGAUGUGGGGCUGAAUACAGGCUGUUUCUGUGAUGUGGGGCUGGAUACAGGCUGUGUUUCUGUGAUGUGGGGCUGAAUACAGGCUGUUUCUGUGAUGUGGGGCUGGAUACAGGCUGUGUUUCUGUGAUGUGGGGCUGGAUACAGGCUGUGUUUCUGUGAUGUGGGGCUGGAUACAGGCUGUGUUUCUGUG